CAGAAAUGAGGCAGGGGAUGGGGAUAAGGCUGGGGAUGGGGUCUGGGGGCCUUUGGGUGGAAGCACUUGUCCAGCUGAACAGUGGGAGCUGUGCUGGAACACCAGCAGGAGCCUUGGGAAAAGGAGUUUUUCCAGUGAUACAGCUGAGACACCACAGCUGGCACACCCAGCUCUCCUGGCAUCUGUGGCUGAAAUCAAACUGAGCUCUGCAGCUCAGUUCUUGUCCUGGUGCUUCAAGACAAAUUCGGUAUUACUGUACAUCCCAGGUGUUGUGACAGGAACACAACACAAAUGGCUCUCACAGGACAUUCAUGGGAAAAACAGCAGAACUAAAGGAGUAAACAAUAAAUCAUUCCUGAACAAGGCAGCUCUGAACUCAAAAAUCUUGACGUGGAGAUGUUAUCUGAGUUGCUGCUGUCUCUAAGCAAUAGCAGCCCUGCUCAGCACCACGUGCAGUGAAUAACCACUGAUGUUCUGCUGUUCCUCUGACAGCUUCCACUCCACAUGAAGACAUCCCAAGGCACGUCUGCCUUGCUUCAUAAUCUGACCAUCCCUGCUAAGGGUUGCUGCUUUGGACACAUUCCACAAACCCAGAUUGCUCCAAGCCCUGUCCAACGUGGCUUUGAACACUUCCAGUUUGAUUGCUGAGUCCAAACAUUUAUAAGGAAAAAAAUAUUUCCAUCUACACAUCAGUAAUGAUCUACCCAGUGGUGCAGGAGAGAAACAAAAAGCUGAUUUUUCCCUUGCCACAGCCCCAGCUGUAAGCAAUGUGAACAAUGAGGCACAGAGCACCACUGAAGUUCCAAAGAAAACAAGUUUACAUCCAGACAGGCUUGAGCCAGAUAAGCUGAGACAAUCUGUAUCCUAUAUGAGAAGCUUUGCCAGGGAAUUUGAAGCCAAUCUUUGCUUCCAUUUUUAAGCAGAAAAUCCUUAUGUUAAAGAAAAAAACUGUAGAGAAAAGUAUGGACUGAGUAUUUGGGGCAAAAGGCAUAAAAAUAAACCUGCACCACUGAAUACUGGAGUGUUGGGA
rnacentral:lncRNA from 1 species